rnacentral:rRNA from 1 species
GGUUAAGCGACUAAGCGUACACGGUGGAUGCCCUGGCAGUCAGAGGCGAUGAAGGACGUGCUAAUCUGCGAUAAGCGUCGGUAAGGUGAUAUGAACCGUUAUAACCGGCGAUUUCCGAAUGGGGAAACCCAGUGUGAUUCGUCACACUAUCAUUAACUGAAUCCAUAGGUUAAUGAGGCGAACCGGGGGAACUGAAACAUCUAAGUACCCCGAGGAAAAGAAAUCAACCGAGAUUCCCCCAGUAGCGGCGAGCGAACGGGG